AUUGAACGCUGGCGGCAUGCCUUACACAUGCAAGUCGAACGGCAGCACGGGAGCAAUCCUGGUGGCGAGUGGCGAACGGGUGAGUAAUAUGUCGGAACGUGCCCAGUCGUGGGGGAUAACUACUCGAAAGAGUGGCUAAUACCGCAUACGAUCUGCGGAUGAAAGUGGGGGACCUGAGAGGGCCUCGCGCGCUUGGAGCGGUCGAUAUCAGAUUAGGUAGUUGGUGGGGUAAAAGCCCACCAAGCCUGCGAUCUGUAGCUGGUCUGAGAGGACGAACAGCCACACUGGAACUGAGACACGGUCCAGACUCCUACGGGAGGCAGCAGUGGGGAAUUUUGGACAAUGGGCGCAAGCCUGAUCCAGCAAUGCCGCGUGCAGGACGAAGGCCUUCGGGUUGUAAACUGCUUUUGUACGGAGCGAAAAGGUCAUUAAUAACACUAGUGGCUGAUGACGGUACCGUAAGAAUAAGCACCGGCUAACUACGUGCCAGCCGCCGCGGUAACAC
rnacentral:rRNA from 1 species